rnacentral:rRNA from 1 species
UGCCAGCAGCCGCGGUAAUACGAAGGGUGCUAGCGUUGUUCGGAAUUACUGGGCGCAAAGAGCAUGUAGGCGGAUGAAUUAGUCAGAGGUGAAAGCCCCGAGCUCAACUUGGGAACUGCCUUUGAUACUGUUUAUCUAGAGUCCGAGAGAGGUUAGUGGAAUUCCCAGUGUAGAGGUGAAAUUCGUAGAUAUUGGGAAGAACACCAGUGGCGAAAGCGAUGCACUGGACCUCUUCUGACGCUGAGGCGCGAAAGCUAGGGGAGCGAACGGGAUUAGAUA